GAGCUGGGAGGAGCCCUGGGUCCUUGGCUGUGGGGCUUGGUGGAAGCUAUAGUGGGAAGCAUAUGACUUUAGGGAUCCUGAAUGUCAUCGAGAGAGCCGCUGCCUGGUUCCUGCCUGUGGUCAUGUGAAUGUCUGCCUCAUGAAUGUCUGCCCCCUGUCCUCAGACUGCUUCCUCCUGCUCACCGUGGCCUGACCUCCAGUUCUGCAGGGACACUGACUUAAGUCCAUGUUUGUGUCUGUCAGACCCACAGCCUCUCCCACUCCCCAAAUCUCAGGGGUUCUGGGAGUUUACAGCCCUCAGAGGUCCCCACAGGCACCUCAGACCUGUAGUCAGGACAGUGGUGGAGCACAGGAUGUUGCUGGCUGGACAGUAGGCAUUCUGCAGGUGGAUGUGCUGACUAAAUGCUGUGAAAGGGCUUGUUAGCCCUUGCUUCUAAUCCCCUUGGCCAGGAACUAACGCUUCUACACACAGUCCAGAUGCCAAGAGGGGGCCGCCAUUCUCUUCACAGGAUGAUGAGCAAAACUACCCCAUAAAGGUCUUUAGCUUGGUGUUUCUGAUCCCUCCAGUGACCACAGCUGUGGUAUGGGGAUGCUUAGAUUUCAUGUUGAGAAUGGCCACCCCUGAGGGGUUAUUUGCAAAAGCACCUCUCCUACCUGGGGCUUGGACUGCCCCCCUCCUCUGUCAUAAAGCAUUACACAACUGAAAGAUACCUCGACUUCAAAAGCACUGUACCCGUAGCCCUUGCCCGUCAGCAGGAGGGGAGUGGAGAUGUGAAGACUCAGUGGCUUCCAGUUAUGCUCAAGGUUCCAGAACUCUGUCCUUGAGGCCUAAGCCCACACUCUUCGCCUCACAAGUCUAACCAAGCUCUCCUGUAGAGUCUCAGACACACAAACAGAUCAGAGAAGGCUGCGUCCACAUCCACUCCAGCAAGCUAUGGUCUCAGGAACCACCAUACAAUCCCUACUGCAAGGGAUGUGGUAGACAUUUCCAUCAUGGUGUCUUCAACUUGGCACUUACCGUCAGAGGAACCUCUGUCCACAGUGGAGAGAUCCAGACAGGAACUGAAUGUUGCACCCUGAAGAAUGUAGGAAUGUCUUCACACUGCCCGUGGACUUCCAGGAGGUGGGCUCUGGAUUGAUGAUGAAGGAUACCUCUGGUCUCCCUCGUCUGUUGGGAAUGGGGCCGUAACCCAGCACUUGUAGCCACACUGGAAGCUGGGUGCUUCGUGCAGUCAGUGAAAACAGAUCCUCAGGCAGAGCUGGGCCCGAGCUGCUGUUACAGCCAAGCCCAGAUGUGCAUUGCAGGUAUUCUUUUGGAGUGUGGAAUAUUCUCCCUCCAGAAAGAAACUUAGCGUUAAACUCCAGGCAUGUGGUCAUAGGUAGUCACCUCCUGUCCAGUUCAUUUGCACCUUGAAUCAUCUAUCCUCGAGGCUUAGAUUGCCUCUCUAGGUUCAGUGUGAGCCCCACUUGGUCCUCAGAAACUCAUCGCUGGGAUGCCUCGUCCUCAAAGAUUAGAAGGGGGUAGGCGGUCAUUUCUCUCUAGUGUCCCUAACAGGAAAAGCUGCCCAGUGUCUGCUGUCAUCUGGGCCAUCUCCACAGUGCACAUCCUGCAGCCAACAGCUCAGUAAAUCCCAAAGAUCCCCCAGGUCCAGCCACAGGCCCCGUCAGCAGCAAUAUCCAACUUACCAAAUUCUAGUUCAGCCAAAGCACUAAGAAAGGCUCUUCCAGUUGAUCUCCAGUGGCCUGGGCUGGCCUCAGCCUUCAGAAGGAUUUUGCCAUCUGCCUCCUGACUGUGUGAUCACUAUAGGUUUUUCCAUCAUAGGCUAUUGGGGGCUGCAACACCAGGAAGCUGGGCCAUUUCUAGCAUACAGCCUAGCUUGAGCUGUAUGAUUCUCUGGACACAAAUGGCCGUUGCUUUAACAUCCGUGGACUCAAACGCAGAAGAAGAGAAGAGGAACUUCCAUUAGUAAGGUUCUCCCCUCAGGCUGCCGUCACUUUGUUUCAUCGGUGAAACAGGCUCUUUUGCCUGGGAAUCAGUCACUCAAGUGGUCUCAGGUUCUAUGAGGAGUGAUUAUACAUGGAAGCACUUAUUCUCAGCGUGGUUCUGUUCCCAACACCUGAGUCCUCCUGUCAAGCUUCCCUUGCACGACUUUCACAGCGCCCAGGAUGCAGUGCGUCCCAAGUGAACACAGCUACGUGCAUCCCAUCCCUAGGGCUAGCCUGCACAGGAAGCCGCAUGUUACAGCAAGAGGGAUGCUGUCAGUAUCCUGCCUGGUGACUCCGCAUUCGGCAUUGUGGGGUUGGCGCUAGGCAGAGGGAAAGGUACCUGUUUCCUGGUGAGAAGGGCAGCUGGUGACACUGAUGAGAACUCAUCUCCAGGUUUCUAGGAAGGACCUGGACACCAGCCGUGUGGGCUGGCCAAGAGUCUUCAUUUCAGUUCGACAACUUUGACCUCCUGCACUUUGAAGAAACGGAAGAAUUCUACAAGGCAUGUUUUCCACUGUGAAGCUGAUUCUCUGCUUUUGGAGCCCCCCCCCCCAAUUUUUUUUGAGCAAGGUCCACUAUUUUCCUGGACUCGGGCUAGACUUCCUGAGGAGAGUGUGGAUGUCUUACAUGCUCACUCAGAGGACACAGGGUCACCAUGAAAUAGCAAAGCUCGUAUGUAGGCAGGAUGCCACACCAGACCUUGUCAUAUCAUGCUCAAAGAGGAGAGCACAGGACACUCGGUACCCCAUAAGCUAUGCCAAGCUCCCAGCUUCCUGGUCUUGGCAGCGGUGUGACAUUGUUGUGUCUGUCUUUUAUCUAGAAGGUUUGUGGAGGGCAGAACCAAGAGAGUGAGGCUCAGGCUAUACCCUGGAGACAGUGCACAGGGGCUCCUGUCCCCAGGGCCGUGGGAGAGCUGGCGAGGAGGCUGCCCCUCCCCUUCACUGUGGCAAACGUUUGCUAGGCAAACCAAUGAUGCGGUGUUUCCUCAUGUUUCCCUCCCAUCUCCCUUUUGCAGGCUCUCCGGGGGUCAGGGAUGGUUGUGGCUGUGGUUGUUUUUCUUCCUCUCUUAUUUGGGUCUGAGGAUGGUAGUCUGGAGAGCCCUGGCUUUGACCAAGGGAACCUGUGGUCUCUGAGCACGUAUAGACCUCACAUGGAAGAGGGUGGUGCUUUAAGGGUCCACUCCCACUUGGGAAGUUGACUAGCCGUGGAGUUGGCAUUGGCAUCACCACCCGCCAAGGUCCUACCAUUCCUUGGGCACCUUGACUCUUUGAACCAAAGGUCCUUAAAGGGGCAGAGCCCAGCCUUGUCCUUAGGAGUCAGAAUCUGCAGGCCCGCUGGAACGGGGGCUCCCACAAUCCAGGUGCCAGAAGGCUCACCUAGAACCAUUCUCCCAGCCAGCCAUCGUGGGUGGCUUCCCAAACAGGGCUCGAGCUUGUGGCCUGACUUGGGCUGGGCCUGGCCAACCAUGAAAGAGCAAGAGCCAUGAGGCAGGGCCUUCCAGAUCCCAGGCAUCAGGAAACCAUUUUGUAUAACAGCCCGAAGCAGAGAUAUUUUUUAAGACGCAUGAAGUAUUUUCAGUUGUCUUCUGAUCCUAUCUUUUUUUUUUUCUUUUCCCCAUAACUUCCCGUUGGUGGUCCAUUCACAUCAGGUAAAUCUUGAGACGCCUUGGUGCCCCAUUCCUCCUUCCCUCUUACUCAGUGACCACGUGUGUGCACCUCCAUCCUGUCUCAGUAGUAAAGACGUUCUAGGCAAUACCAUAGACACAUCUGUGUCUCGCUUCGAGUGCAAGAAACUCAAGUCAUCUUAAAAAAAAAUUAAAAAACACAAAAAAAAUUU
rnacentral:lncRNA from 1 species